CCGUUCGAACAGGGCGGUACCUUGACGGUACCUGACGAGGAAGCCACGGCUAACUACGUGCCAGCAGCCGCGGUAAUACGUAGGUGGCAAGCGUUGUCCGGAAUUAUUGGGCGUAAAGCGCGCGCAGGCGGUUCCUUAAGUCUGAUGUGAAAUCUCGCGGCUCAACCGCGAGCGGCCAUUGGAAACUGGGGAACUUGAGUGCAGGAGAGG
rnacentral:rRNA from 1 species